CGGUCUCUCCUCGUCCAUUUAACAACAAAAACACAGCAACACGUGCUGGAUUUGAGUGGCUUGCAAAAGUAUUCGUCCCUCUUUUCCACAUUUUGUCACAUUACUGCCACAAACACAAAUUGUCAUGGUCCUGGGUCGGUGACCCAGCGCUUUUAGUUUAUUAUUAUGAUGAUGAUGAUGAUUAUUAUUGUUUGAGUUCUAUGUGUUAUAUUUGGUCUGCGUCUGAGUCUGCGUCUGUGUCUCUGUCUAUGCUGUCACCCCGUCUGUUUGUGAAUCUGUCUGUUUAGUUCUGUGUCUUGUUUGGUUCCCCGUGUCUGAGUUUCCUGUUUUAUUGUGAAGGUCUCUGUCUGAUGUGAGUGUGUUCAGUUUACGUUUCCCCUGUCCCGUCAGCUCUGAUUCCUCCCAGCCGUGUUGCCCUCCUGUCUCUCAUCCCCUGAUUACUGGUGUGUGUAUUUAAGCCCUGUGUGUUCUCCUGCCUGUUACUCGGUGUCCUGCUCGGUGGCUGCUGUGCAUCCCUUUGUCGUAUGCAUCCAGGUCUGUUAUUUUAGUUUUUCCCAGUUUAUGUGUCUUCAGUUAUUUGUCAUGCCCCACUGCUUGUUUGCCACUACACCUUGUAAAUAAACUUCACUAGCAUUUUCAUCCACUGCUUGCAUCUUGGGUCCUCCUUCCUCCACACCACACGGCUCGCCUUCCCAGCCGUGACACAAAUCAAUUUUAAUGGAAUCCAAUUGCAGCAAAAGGUGGUUCUACAAAGUAUUGACUCAGGGGGCUGAAUAAUUGCGC
ensembl:lncRNA